UACGUAGGGUGCAAGCGUUAUCCGGAAUUAUUGGGCGUAAAGAGCUCGUAGGCGGUUUGUCGCGUCUGCUGUGAAAACUGGAGGCUCAACCUCCAGCCUGCAGUGGGUACGGGCAGACUAGAGUGUGGUAGGGGAGACUGGAAUUCCUGGUGUAGCGGUGGAAUGCGCAGAUAUCAGGAGGAACACCGAUGGCGAAGGCAGGUCUCUGGGCCACUACUGACGCUGAGAAGCGAAAGCAUGGGGAGCGAACAGG
rnacentral:rRNA from 1 species